CAGUACCCGGGAAUACAGAGGGUGCAAGCGUUAAUUGGAAUUACUGGGCGUAAAGCGCGCGUAGGUGGUUUGUUAAGUUGGAUGUGAAAUCCCCGGGCUCAACCUGGGAACUGCAUUCAAAACUGACUGACUAGAGUAUGGUAGAGGGUGGUGGAAUUUCCUGUGUAGCGGUGAAAUGCGUAGAUAUAGGAAGGAACACCAGUGGCGAAGGCGACCACCUGGACUAAUACUGACACUGAGGUGCGAAAGCGUGGGGAGCAAACAGGAUUAGAUACCCCGGUAGUCCCUGUCUCUUAUACAC
rnacentral:rRNA from 1 species